UCCAAUCGAACCCGGAGAUAGCUGGUUCUCCCCGAAAUAGCUUUAGGGCUAGCGUCGAGGUAGAGAGUUGCGUGAAGGUAGAGCACUGAAUAUGUGAUGGCCCCAUCUCGGGGUACUGAGCAUAAUCAAACUGCGAAUGUCACGGAAACAUACUCGGCAGUCAGACAGCGGGUGAUAAGGUCCGUUGUCAAGAGGGAAACAGCCCAGACCAUCAGCUAAGGUCCCAAAAUGUAUGCUAAGUGGAAAAGGAUGUGGAGAUGUACAGACAACUAGGAGGUUGGCUCAGAAGCAGCCAUCCUUUAAAGAGUGCGUAACAGCUCACUAGUCGAAUGACUCUGCGCCGAUAAUUUACCGGGGCUAAGCAUACUACCGAAGCUAUGGAUCCCAAGGGAUGGUAGGGGAGCGUUCCAUGAACGGAGAAGUACGACCGAAAGGACGUGUGGAGAUCAUGGAAGAGAGAAUGCCGGUGUGAGUAGCGGAACGUGGGUGAGAAUCCCACGCACCGAAAACCCAAGGUUUCCAGAGGAAGGUUCGUCCGCUCUGGGUAAGUCGGGACCUAAGGCGAGGCCGAAAGGCGUAGUCGAUGGACAACAGGUAGAGAUUCCUGUACCCGUAUAUAUGUGAAGGAAUGACGGAGAGAGGAAGCUGCAGCCAGCGGCUGGAAGAGCUGGUGCAAGCGAGAUAUCGGGAUGGCAGGCAAAUCCACCAUCCGAAACGAGAAGGCGUGAAGCGUACGGAAAGCUACGGCGAGUACGGAAGGCAGUGGAGGAACUUCCAAGAAAAGUUUCUAACGUAAAGUAUAUAUGGCCCGUACCGAAAAUGGACACACAUGGGUGAGGAGAGAAUCCUAAGGUGAGCGAGAGAACUAUAGCUAAGGAACUCUGCAAAAUGACUCCGUAACUUAGGGAGAAGGAGUGCUCAUAGAGAUAUGAGCCGCAGUGAAACGGCCCAAGCGACUGUUUACCAAAAACACAGCUCUCUGCUAAGCCGCAAGGCGAAGUAUAGGGGGUGACGCCUGCCCGGUGCUGGAAGGUUAAGGGGAGGGGUUAACGCAAGUGAAGCCCUGAACUGAAGCCCCAGUAAACGGCGGCCGUAACUAUAACGGUCCUAAGGUAGCGAAAUUCCUUGUCAGGUAAGUUCUGACCCGCACGAAAGGCGUAACGAUUUGGGCGCUGUCUCAGCUGUAGACUCGGUGAAGUCUUAGUACCUGUGAAGAUGCAGGUUACCCGCGACUAGACGGAAAGACCCCAUGGAGCUUCACUGCAGGUUGAUAUUGGGAUUUGAUGCAGCAUGUACAGGAUAGGUAGGAGGCAAAGAGAUGGAUACGCCAGUAUUCAAGGAGCCGCUGUUGGGAUACUACCCCUGUUGUAUUGGAUUUCUAACCGGACGACGUAGAGCCGUUGACGGGACAGUGUCAGUCGGGCAGUUUGACUGGGGCGGUCGCCUCCCAAAGAGUAACGGAGGCGCCCAAAGAUACCCUCAGCUUGGAUGGAAACCAAGCGCAGAGUGCAAAGGCAAAAGGGUGUUUGACUGCGAGACCUACAAGUCGAGCAGGGACGAAAGUCGGGCUUAGUGAUCCGGCGGUGCUGAAUGGAAAGGCCGUCGCUCAACGGAUAAAAGCUACCCUGGGGAUAACAGGCUGAUCUCCCCCAAGAGUCCACAUCGACGGGGAGGUUUGGCACCUCGAUGUCGGCUCAUCGCAUCCUGGGGCUGUAUUCGGUCCCAAGGGUUUGGCUGUUCGCCAAUUAAAGCGGUACGCGAGCUGGGUUCAGAACGUCGUGAGACAGUUCGGUCCCUAUCUGUCGUGGGCGCAGGAAAUUUGAGAAGAGCUGUCCUCAGUACGAGAGGACCGGGAUGGACGCAUCAAUGGUGGACCAGUUGUCACGCCAGUGGCAUAGCUGGGUAGCUAAAUGCGGAAGGGAUAAACGCUGAAGGCAUCUAAGUGUGAAACCCACUUCAAGAUGAGAUUUCCCAUUGCGCAAGCAAGUAAGACCCCUUAAAGACGAUAAGGUAGAUAGGUCAGGAGUGUAAGCAUGGUGACAUGUUAAGCGGACUGAUACUAAUAGGUCGAGGGCUUGACCGA
rnacentral:rRNA from 1 species